rnacentral:lncRNA from 1 species
CGGAGCAUGGUAGUAGUAGAAGGUAAGUGCUAGGCUAGCCACUAAAGAGAGGGUGUUGUACACUCUCGUAUAAUAUUGUUGUAUUGAAAUAAAGUUCUGUUCUUGUAAGUGUUAGUCUCCUGGUUGGGCAUAUAGUUUGUAAGUACUUAGUGCAUAGAUUGUGAUCCAUCGAAGGUUGGUUGUAUCACCCAAGAUCACAAGGGUCUGGACUUGAUCGUAUGUUGGCUCUGCCACUCGAAAGUCAGCUUUAUCUGUUGGUAGGCUCUGCCACCUGAAAGUGAGAAGUUGACUCCACCGUCAAAAGGACCCGGUACACUAAGUAACUAGAGAUUAAAAGGGAUGAUCGACUCUAGAGUGAGUUGGUGUCCUAGGUGUAGAUCCUCAGCUUUGUGGGUAUUAGGACCACCUCAAUUUCCAACAUAAUAUAUUUUUUCUUCUCUUUGCUCGCGCACCUGAACCUGCAUGACAUAGUACUAUUCAGAAAUCGUGUUUACCACAAUAACGCAUUUGUAAUCCUUGUGUAUGCAUUGAAAAAAAAGACAAGAUUACUAUUAUCCUAAUGAGCUAAAUCUUUUGCUCUUAAGUUCAUAGCAAAAGUGGAUCUGGC